rnacentral:rRNA from 1 species
CAAUUCUGGUUGAUCCUGCCAGAGGCCGCUGCUAUCCGGCUGGGACUAAGCCAUGCGAGUCAUGGGGCGUGGGCCGCUCUGCGGUUCACGCACCGGCGGACGGCUCAGUAACACGUGGCCAACCUGCCCUCGGGAGGGGGAUAACCCCGGGAAACUGGGGCUAAACCCCCAUAGGGGAUGGGUACUGGAAUGUCCCGUCUCCGAAAGUGCACGGUCACCGUAAGGUACCGUGCAGCCCGAGGAUGGGGCUGCGGCGGAUUAGGUAGUUGGCGGGGUAACGGCCCGCCAAGCCGAAGAUCCGUACGGGCCAUGGGAGUGGGAGCCCGGAGAUGGACCCUGAGACAAGGGUCCAGGCCCUACGGGGCGCAGCAGGCGCGAAACCUCCGCAAUGCGGGAAACCGCGACGGGGCUAGCCGGAGUGCCCG